GCAGUGGUCAUUCAGUGGUAGAAUUCUCACCUUCUGUCUGGGAGACCUAGGUUCAAUUCCUGGCUAACGCA
rnacentral:tRNA from 1 species